UCUUAACAGGAGUACCAUGGAGGACCACAUAGUACUGCUCACUGCACAUCGGAAUAGAAAGAAGGCACCCAGUUAUCUAGCAGCAUUGUUGUGAGCCUACUACAGUCUUCCUUUGGCAGAUUUGGUGACUAAGAAUCCUCCUGCCAAUGAGGAGACACAGGUUCAUCCCUGAUCUGGGAAGAUUCCACAUGCCUUGGAGCAGCUAAGCCCAUGUGCCACAACUACUGAGCCCUCAGGCUGCAACUACUGAACCUCAUGCACCUAGAGACGUUGCUCUGCAGCAAGAGAAACCACUGCAAAGAGAAACCUGCAUAAUGAAGAGUAGCCCCCACUCUCUGCAACUAGGGAAAGAUCUCUCACAGCAAUGAAG